GACGAACGCUGGCGGCGUGCUUAACACAUGCAAGUCGAGCGGGAAACUUCGGUUUCCAGCGGCGGACGGGUGAGUAACACGUGGGCAACCUGCCUCACAAUGAGCGAUAGCCUUCCGAAAGGAAGAUUAAUACCUCAUAACACAAGAGAAACGCAUGUUUCUCUUGCCAAAGAAUUUCGUUGUGAGAUGGGCCCGCGGCGCAUUAGCUUGUUGGUGAGGUAACGGCUCACCAAGGCUUCGAUGCGUAGCCGACCUGAGAGGGUGAUCGGCCACAUUGGAACUGAGACACGGUCCAGACUCCCACGGGAGGCAGCAGUGGGGAAUAUUGCACAAUGGAGGAAACUCUGAUGCAGCAACGCCGCGUGAGUGAUGAAGGUCUUCGGAUUGUAAAGCUCUGUCUUCUGGGACGAUAAUGACGGUACCAGAGGAGGAAGCCACGGCUAACUACGUGCCAGCCGCCGCCGUAA
rnacentral:rRNA from 1 species